GUGAGUACUUGGGAGCUCUGGGAGGGAGUGAGCAGGGAAGGGGUUUCCUGUUCUUUCCCCUGACCACGCCUCUUUCCAACAGGUGGCAAGUGCAAAUGCAAGUUCAGCCAGAAACCCAGCCACCGUCCAGGAGAUGGGCCACCCCUCAUCACACCAGGUAUGACACAGGAUGAUUGGGGGUGACACGUGGGGGUAAUGGUCACUAGUGGAAGCUGGAGUGGGAGCGUGCCUGAGUCAGGGAGAAGGAAAGGGGAGAUGCUUGCAAACUGACUCCAUUCCCUCUACCAGGCUCUGCUCACAACUGCUGAGGAUGGAUCAGUUAAAAAAGUGCAGGUCCUGUCUCUGGAGAUGGGCUUGAACUCCAAGAUGUCUGGGCUCCUCCUCUCCUGACACUGCCUUCCCCGAGCCUCAUCUCAUGGUAGCAGGUUCUUUGUUCAGUUGUUAAUAUAAAAUGAUUUUACGUC
rnacentral:lncRNA from 1 species